UCCAACCCGACGGCCACACCUCUCUCCUCCAUUGUUGCUGCCGGAUUUUGCCGAAAUUCUCAUGAAACCUCACCAUUCUUGAUGUAUUGGCUCCACCAACUUAUUCUAAGGAUAAUUUCUCAUGAACACUCAUCAUGAAGUCAUCAUGGAGGCUCAUUAAAUUUUGAGGACUGGACUUCACAUAUUUGAUUCAAGAUGAAUCGAGGUUGGAUGUACGGUACAAAGGCUGGAAAUUUGGAAUUUGUCAACGGUGUGGACUCGUUUGUGCAGACUGCCAAGGCACACAAGAAUCUACAAGAUGAUGGCUACAUGUAUUGCCCAUGCAUUGAUUGCAAAA